rnacentral:piRNA from 1 species
UGAAAGCUUACAAAAAGGGGUCACCAGG